UGGGGAAUAUUGCGCAAUGGGGGAAACCCUGACGCAGCGACGCCGCGUGCGGGAUGAAGGUCUUCGGGUUGUAAACCGCUUUUGAUUGGGAGCAAGCCUUUUGGGCGAGCGUACCUCUCGAAUAAGCGCCGGCUAACUACGUGCCAGCAGCCGCGGUAAUACGUAGGGCGCAAGCGUUAUCCGGAAUUAUUGGGCGUAAAGAGCUUGUAGGCGGUUCGUCGCGUCUGGUGUGAAAGCCCAUCGCUUAACGGUGGGUUUGCGCCGGGUACGGGCGGGCUAGAGUGCAGUAGGGGAGACUGGAAUUCCCGGUGUAACGGUGGAAUGUGUAGAUAUCGGGAAGAACACCAAUGGCGAAGGCAGGUCUCUGGGCUGUUACUGACGCUGAGAAGCGAAAGCGUGGGGAGCGAACAGG
rnacentral:rRNA from 1 species